UACGUAGGGGGCAAGCGUUGUCCGGAAUCAUUGGGCGUAAAGCGCGCGUAGGCGGCCCGAUAAGUCCGCUGUGAAAGUCAACGGCUCAACUGUUGAACGCCGGUGGAUACUGUCGGGCUAGAGUCCGGAAGAGGCAAGUGGAAUUCCUGGUGUAGCGGUGGAAUGCGCAGAUAUCAGGAGGAACACCAAUAGCGAAGGCAGCUUGCUGGGACGGUACUGACGCUAAGGCGCGAAAGCGUGGGGAGCGAACAGG
rnacentral:rRNA from 1 species